CGUUCUGUAAGCCUGCGAAGGUGUGCUGUGAGGCAUGCUGGAGGUAUCAGAAGUGCGAAUGCUGACAUAAGUAACGAUAAAGCGGGUGAAAAGCCCGCUCGCCGGAAGACCAAGGGUUCCUGUCCAACGUUAAUCGGGGCAGGGUGAGUCGACCCCUAAGGCGAGGCCGAAAGGCGUAGUCGAUGGGAAACAGGUUAAUAUUCCUGUACUUGGUGUUACUGCGAAGGGGGGACGGAGAAGGCUAUGUUGGCCGGGCGACGGUUGUCCCGGUUUAAGCGUGUAGGCUGGUUUUCCAGGCAAAUCCGGAAAAUCAAGGCUGAGGCGUGAUGACGAGGCACUACGGUGCUGAAGCAACAAAUGCCCUGCUUCCAGGAAAAGCCUCUAAGCAUCAGGUAACAUCAAAUCGUACCCCAAACCGACACAGGUGGUCAGGUAGAGAAUACCAAGGCGCUUGAGAGAACUCGGGUGAAGGAACUAGGCAAAAUGGUGCCGUAACUUCGGGAGAAGGC
rnacentral:rRNA from 1 species